AUUGAACGCUGGCGGAAUGCUUAACACAUGCAAGUCGAACGGUAGAGCGGGCAACCCCUCGAGAGUGGCGAACGGGUGAGUAAUAUAUCGGAACGUGCCCAGUCGUGGGGGAUAACGUAGCGAAAGUUACGCUAAUACCGCAUACGAUCUAAGGAUGAAAGCGGGGGACCGUAAGGCCUCGCGCGAUUGGAGCGGACGAUAUCAGAUUAGGUAGUUGGUGAGGUAAAGGCUCACCAAGCCAACGAUCUGUAGCCGGUCUGAGAGGACGACCAGCAAACUGGGAACGGAGGCUAGGUCGGUAGUCCUGGGGGAGGCAGCUGAGGGGAAUUUUGGACAAUGGAGGGGAGUCUGAUACAGCCAUUCCGAGUGCAGGAUGAAGGCGCUCGGGUUGGAAACUGCGUUUGUACGUAACGAAAAGGUCUCUACUAAGAAGAGGGGAUCAUGACGGUACCGGAAGAAUAAGCACCGGCUAACUACGUGCCAGCAGCCGCCGUAA
rnacentral:rRNA from 1 species